rnacentral:rRNA from 1 species
UACGAGGGGGCAAGCGUUGUCCGGAUUUAUUGGGCGUAAAGAGCGUGUAGGCGGCUUGGUAGGUCCGCUGUGAAAACUCGAGGCUCAACCUCGAGAUGUCGGCGGAAACCACUUGGCUAGAGUCCGGAAGAGGAGAGUGGAAUUCCUGGUGUAGCGGUGAAAUGCGCAGAUAUCAGGAAGAACACCUAUGGCGAAGGCAGCUCUCUGGGACGGUACUGACGCUGAGACGCGAAAGCGUGGGGAGCGAACAGG